ensembl:lincRNA
CCUUAUAGUAUAUCUACAAAGGAGCUUCCCUGGUGGCUCAGAUGGUAAAGAAUCUGCCUGCAAUGUGGGAGACCUGGGUUCGAUCCUUGGGCUGGGAAAAUGUCCUGGAGAAGGGAAUGGUUACCCACUCCAGUAUGCUUGCCUGGACAAUUCCAUAGACAGGGGAACCUGAAGGGCUGCAGUCCAUAGCGUCACAAAGAGUUGGACCACAGUGAGUGACUAAUGCAGACAUAAGUGCAAAAUCCAAAAAAAAUUUUUUAAAAAGGGUCAUAGUUUCCCAGUUAUGAUUCUGGUCUUAGUUUCAUUAUUGCCACCAGAAUCUUGCUGAUAACUAUGGACUACAGGAAACAGUGCCUAGGAAGAGUGCCAACUUGAAAUUCACAUGAUUGUGUGGCUUCCCUGGUGGCUCAAAUGGUAAAGAAUCUGCCUGCAGUGCAGGAUACCCAGGUUUGAUCCCUGGUCUGGAAGAUCCCCUGGAGAAGAAAAUGGCAACCCUCUCCAGUGUUCUUGCCUUGAAAAUCCUACGGAGAGAGCAGUCCAUGGGGUCACAAAGAGUUGAGCACUACUGAGUGACUAACACACACGAUAAUACUCAACAUAUGUGGCAUUUAUAUAAUAUCAUGUUUGCUUGCAAGAUUUUCUGCCUUUGAUAUUAACAUCAAUAAUAACUGAGGGGAUUUUUGUUUCAAGGAACAAUGGAAACUGGUGCUGAUAAUACCUUGAUUUCUUCACUCUUUAGAGACGAAGUACUGGAAAAGUCAUGACUGAACAGUAGGGUGACAUUCCAACUUUACAGACUCACUGUAUAUAGUUCUGGAAUGCAUCCUAUCGAGUUUCAUUCCCCAAACCAGUGAUCUCUUAAUAAUGUACUCCUGAUUACAUUCUCCCUCUUUACAAUAAUAAUGUACCGUGGAACUCUGUCUCUUUUCUCUGUCAUGCUCUCUAAUCUAUGUGCUACUUUUAAUGCUUGGCUGGUAACUGCAACUCCACUGAGACAAGGCUGUCUGCUCCAUAUGAGAAGGGUGGACUCAUGCUGUACACAAAUCUGUAUCAGGUCAAAGGGCAUGGAGAUUGCAUCACGCUUGGAAGCUCACUUCCAAAUCUCAACACUGAGGAAACAGAAGCAGGAACUUCUGUAAGAGCACUGGAAUUAAACACCAACCCAGAGGAAAGAAGAGGUAGUUGAUGGAGAGAGACCUGAAAACAUAAUCUGAGCCCCUGCUGCUGCUAAGUCGCUUCAGUCAUGUCCAACUCUUCACAACCCCAUGAACUGCAGCCUAAAAGGCUCCUCCAUCCAUGGGAUCUUCCAGGCAAGAGUACUGGAGUGGGAUGCCAUUGACUUCUCCGAGCCCCUAGACUACGCUAUAACUGAAACUAGCACUCCUGUAAUAUGAGCUAAUAAAUUCAGUUGUAUUAAUACUAACUAAGUCUGAGUUGGGUUUCUGUUAAUUGCAAUUGGAAAGUUUGACUAAAAAUAGAAUCAAUUUAGGGAAAGCUGACUGUAAUGAUUGAGAGCAAAAUACAGGUUGCUGAAGGAUUUAAGUCUAGAAAAAGUGUUAAGGCAAGAAUACACAGAAGAACUGUACAAAAAAGACCACUUACCUAGAGCCAGACAUCCUGGAAUGUGAAGUCAAGUGGGCUUUAGGAAGCAUCACUAUGAACGAAGCUAGUGGAGGUGAUGGAAUUCCAGUUGAGCUAUUUCAAAUCUUAAAAGAUGAUGCUGCGAAAGUGCUGUACUCAAUAUACCAGCAAAUUUGGAAGACUCAGCAGUGGCCACAGGACUGGAAAAGGUCGUUUUCAUUCCAAUUCCAAAGAAAAGCAAUGCCAAAGAAUGCUCAAACUACCGCACAAUUGCACUCAUCUCACAUGCUAGUAAAGUAAUGCUCAAAAUUCUCCAAGCCAGGCUUCAGCAAUACGUGAACCGUGAACU